GACAGCUAGGAAAGCCUCCCUGGCCACAGGGUGUGACCACGAUGAGGGCGAGAGGGUGGAGCAGGGACCUUUGGAGUACAACAAGGGAAACAAGGCUUCAGGGAGAUGCUGGGGCACACGGGUCAUUGCUGAAUCCUGAGAUUCCGGCUGUCGGGCCUCCAGGAAAAUGGGAACCCCUGCCUAGGCCCGUGGUAUAUCCUGCUAUUACCACAGUUAAUUAUAGAAUGGUUUCAUCUCAAGAAGAAGAGGAAGAAGAUGAUGAUGAUGAUGAUAUCUGGUGUGCCGGAGAGAUCGAUCAGCAGUUAAGAGUGUUUGCUCUUGAGCAGAACCCAGGUUUGAAUCCCAGCACCUAUGGGGGUUCACAACCAUCCACAGCUGUAGUUCCCGGGGAUCUGAUGCCCCUUUCUGACCUCCACAGGCACCAAGCACUCAAAUGACUUCUGCCUCGAGGGACUUGAUGCGUUACGCUGCAGCUGAUAUGAACAUUUCUGAAACAUGCCUGUGUCGGGAACAAACAUCAGAAAAGAGCAGCCACCCAGGCUAGAAGACGUCAGUUAGUGUCAGCUCACCGUGGGUGAAAACGGUUCUCUUCCUCUCUGCUCUGUAACUAGGAAGGGCAGGCCCAGGUGGUUUCUGUUUGGGGCCUGCCCACGUGGUCAGCUUGUCAUCCAAAGAGUACUUACUGAUUUAAUGAUGGCAGAAACACCAGGAGAAUUUUCUUGGCCAUUUUAUGUGUUAAAAAUCCAGAUGUAAGACAUCGUAUAAAAGAGAGCACUUACUGGUCGUUUUGCACACAUCAUAUUUACAUGCUUUUAGCUCUGUGAGUUUUGUGUAAUAUAGAGAAAAGGGGCUCCCAACAGGCCUCAGAAAUAAGGUACUUGCCGCCAAGCCUGAUGACCGGACUUUGAUUUCUGGAGCCCGCGUGGCAAAAGGAGAGAAGUGACCCCUGUAAACUGUCAUCUGACGUCCAUACAUGGGCUGUGGCAUGUCACAUGCACAAGACCACACGCGUGCACAAGCACACAUAAUAAACCAAUGUCAUAAAGUUUAGACACAGCAUUCCAAACGCAUUUAUAAUCACAAGUUAUACAGGAAUAAAUGCACUAAAAUCACUUUGAAAUAGUUGCAUAUCAACUAUUUCAUUUUAUGUGUUAUUCAAAAGCAAUGAUUCAAAAGAUUUUUAACACAAAUAGAUACUUAAAUGAACCUUGACUUUGUUGAGACUCCGUUUCCCAAGUGAUGAAAAACCUGGCAAAAUCAGCAGAAAACAUGAGCAACCCUAACAAAAUGUAAGAUCUUGGUGGUUUUAUAGUGUACGCACACACUGAGUUAGAUAUUAAAAUAUCCAGUUUCAUAACAUUAUUUAUAACAAAAUAUAUCAUCUACUCACAACCAAUUAAUGCUGAGCAGCAACCUUAUUAUUCCAACUGCAAAAUUAGCCCAUAUUUCAAUACUAACAAAAUAUAUGUCCGAUCCACAUGGAACAAAACCCAGAAACCUUGCAGACGCUAUCUCUAAAUAUGGGUCAAUACAAAAAUUUGUCUUUUAAAUUUACAGUUUUAACUUUGCCUGGCAAAAACUGGCUUAGAGAACUUCGAGCACUUAGCCGAAGCACACUUUAACACUUGAAUCACCCUCAAAUACAAGACUUUAGCCUGGUAGGACUUAAUAAUAAGCCCCUUUCCCAUCAUCUUCAGGGUAAGCUUACCAAGUCCUGAAAGCUACUGUUUGUAGGGACUGAAUUCUCCUGGAAAUUCCAUUAUGAAAAGAUUUAACAUAAAAUAGACAUAUAUAUUCCUAUAUAUAUGUAGUAGUAGCUUUAAUAAAAACUUACACUGGAUUUCUAGAGAAUUUACGUAUCAAUCACAUAUUAAGAAUAUCUAAGCCUGUCGGUGAUGGCGCACACCUUUAAUCCCAGCACUCAGGAGGCAGAGGCAGGCGGAUCUCUGUGAGUUCGAGGCCAGCCUGGUCUACAAGAGCUAGUUCCAGGACAGGCUCCAAAGAAACCCUGUCUCGAAAAACCAAAAAAAAAAAAAAAAAAAAAAAAAAAGGGCUGGAGAGAUGGCUCAGAGGUUAAGAGCAUUGCCUGCUCUUCCAAAGGUCCUGAGUUCAAUUCCCAGCAACCACAUGGUGGCUCACAACCAUCUGUAAUGGGGUCUGGUGCCCUCUUCUGGCCUGUAGGCGUACACACAGACACAAUAUUGUAUAUAUAAUAAAUAAAUAAAUAUUUUUAAAAAAACCCAAAAAUUAUCUGGCCGAUGCCCCCCUUGUCUGCCAUGUGGUGGUGAGGGCACGGGAAAGAUGCUCUCUCCCCCUCAUCCCUGCGAUCUGUGGCAUGGGAGGGAGCUGGCUCUCCCCCCCUACCAGCUGCAGCACUCAGGAAAGUGGGCCCUGCACUUCUUCACCCGGGCAGCAGAGUAGAGCUGACCCGUUGACAGGAGCGCUGGUGAGCCACUGGCCUGGAAUGUGAGCUUGGGAGAUCUGGCCCCGCCCCCAUCUGCCAUAGGAUGGUCUGGGUGAGGGAGAAAUACCUCUCUCCGCCCAAGCCUUCAGCCUGUGGCAGUGGGAAAAUUGUCCCUGAGGUCAUAAGAUCGGGAGAGUUGUCCCUGCCCCUCACCAGCUGCAGAGCUCUGGGAGAGUGGCCCUUGCAUCUUGCCUGGGCAACACAGUCCAGCUGGCCCUGAUGAGGGUGUGAAAGCGGGAGAACUGGUUCCACCCCUUGCUCCUUGCUACGAGGGCGAACUGGCUGGGGCAGUGCUGGAGAGCGCGCCCUGGUGGUGAGGAUGGGGAAGAGCUGGCGGCUGACCAACCCUGCGACUACCUGGCCCAGACCCAGGGUUAUGAGCUGGCCCACCCCAACAUCCAUCCCAUCUAUCAGCUGCUGAGUAUGAAGGUCCAAAGCUGCAGGAUCUCCACGACACAGGGCAACAACAGGAUGUCCAAGAGUCCCAGUGAGGUCCCAGGACCAACCGUGUAGCAGAAACCAGAGGCCUCGAACAAGACCAUUGACUCUUUGCAAUGAACACUUAAGGAUAUACUGUGUGACUCGCGGUGUCAUACUACGGCCUCCAUGAUGAGAUUUUUCUUUUCGUUUUUAUUUUCUCUUAAAUUUUAUUUUAUUUUAUUUUGCGGGGGAGGGUGCAAGGACGGAGGGCGGAUAUGAAGGGACAGAGAUGAAUGGGAUUGAGCUACCUGCUGUGAAAGACACAAAGAAUAAGUAAAAAGAAAGUUAAAAGAAAUAUCUGGCCAGCAAGAUGGCUCAGCGGGUAAAAGCGCUUGCCCCACAAGUCUGGCAACUGAGUUUGACCCCGGGAACCCUCAGUGGAAGGAGACGACCAGCUCCCAAAAGUUGUCCUCUGACCACCACCUGGGCACAUGUGCACCCUGCAACUCACAUCGUACGCACACAUAUACAACAGUAGUAAAUUAAAUUAAUUUAAAAAAGAAUAUUCCUGGAAACCCAUACAAUAAUGAAAGAAAAGGAGGGUUUUUCCAGCUUCGGUUUCAAUUAAUUAAUUCAGAAUUAACACUUGAAAAGUAUAUAGGUCUAAACCAUUCUACAGGUUAACAAGGGCAGUGGUUCUCAGCCUUCCCAAUGCUACGACCCUUUAAUACAAUUCCUCAUGUUGUGGUGACUCCCGACCACAAAAUUAUUUUUGUUGCUACUUUAUAACUGUAAUCUUGCUACUGUUAGGAAUCAUAAUGCAGAUAUCUGAUAUGCGGGAUAUCUGACGCGUAAACCCUAGAGGGUUGCAACCCACAGGUUGAGAGCCCCCGCCUUAAGACACAGACACAUACUAUUUUACGGGUUAAAUUCAAAAUUAGGCUUUCAUUUAAUAACAUUUUGGUUAGGCCCGAGAUCAAGUCUUAUGCAACCAGAUUUGCUUCAGUCUCAAGCUAUCCAGUGAACUGAAGAACCCAUGUGUUUUAAUUCUUUGGGACGUGUCUGGAUGGCCCUGGGUCGGGGUUUCAGAGAAAGUGCUGUGUGACUUAUUACAAAGCUGUGGGGAAGCUUCUGUUGGUGCUGAGAACAGGUUCAGGGUCUUGUGAUUGGCAGCAGACUAAGUGUGCAGGGCACCGUAACAUCCAGCACAGGGCUGGAAACUUCUUGUGGCAGCAGGGGACAGUCACUCUGGAGUGUGUAGGGCCUCUCAACGAGGGCUGUGCCAUGGACUCUGGGGGGGUAUAGAGGGCGGGGUUGUCUUAAGUGUGUUAAUUGAGGUGGAAGAAUCACCCUGACCGCGGAAGCACAAGGUGCUAGAAUGGGUCUUGGACUGAGUGGAGAGGGGAGGGAGUCGAGCACUGAAAAAUGUACAUAUAUAUAUACAAUGAAUAUAUAUAUAUAUUAAUUCUCUCUCUGCCCUCGACUGCUGAUGUGACCAACCACUGUCGCCCCUGACAACGGGCUGCAACUUGAAAUCCUGAACUAAAACACACCUGCCUUCCCAAGCCGCUUUGUCAAGUGGCUUUCCUCAGGGUAUUGUCUGGGCGGGGCAACAACAAGGGACGCUGCAGAAAUGGUCCCAUAGGCUGGUCGUUUGAUGGUUGCUUCCCCAGGUGACAGCACUGUUUUAGAAGGUUCUGGAAAAUGUGGACGUAGCCGUAGCUGGAAGAAGAAAGUCACUGGGGUUGUAUGCUUGGGGGUCUAUCAUUCCCAGCCACUUUCACUCUUGUGGUUCUGUUUCCAGGCCCCUGAGAUGUCAACGGCUUUGCUCCAACAAACCCUCCCUGCCACGAUAGACUGAACCCUCAGACACCCUGAGGCAAGACAACUCCAACUUCCCUGUGAUUUGUUCCACGGGGGUUUUACACACCAAAACCUAGAUGGCUGAUGCCAGGCUGAGGAUGAGGCUCAGCCGGUAGAGUGCUUUCCUAGCGUGUACAAAACCCUGGAUGUGAUCCCCAGU